rnacentral:rRNA from 1 species
ACGCUGGCGGCAGGCUUAACACAUGCAAGUCGAACGGUAACAGGAGAAAGCUUGCUUUCUUACUGACGAGUGGCGGACGGGUGAGUAAUGCUUGGGAAUCUGGCUUAUGGAGGGGGAUAACGACGGGAAACUGUCGCUAAUACCGCGUAGAGUCGAGAGACGAAAGUGCGGGACCGCAAGGCCGCAUGCCAUAGGAUGAGCCCAAGUGGGAUUAGGUAGUUGGUGGGGUAAAGGCCUACCAAGCCGACGAUCUCUAGCUGGUCUGAGAGGAUGACCAGCCACACCGGGACUGAGACACGGCCCGGACUCCUACGGGAGGCAGCAGUGGGGAAUAUUGCGCAAUGGGGGCAACCCUGACGCAGCCAUGCCGCGUGAAUGAAGAAGGCCUUCGGGUUGUAAAGUUCUUUCGGUAUUGAGGAAGGUUGUUGUGUUAAUAGCACGACAAAUUGACGUUAAAUACAGAAGAAACACCGGCUAACUCCGUGCCAGCAGCCGCGGUAAUACGGAGGGUGCGAGCGUUAAUCGGAAUAACUGGGCGUAAAGGGCACGCAGGCGGACUUUUAAGUGAGGUGUGAAAUCCCCGGGCUUAACCUGGGAAUUGCAUUUCAGACUGGGAGUCUAGAGUACUUUAGGGAGGGGUAGAAUUCCACGUGUAGCGGUGAAAUGCGUAGAGAUGUGGAGGAAUACCGAAGGCGAAGGCGGCCCCUUGGGAAUGUACUGACGCUCAUGUGCGAAAGCGUGGGGAGCAAACAGGAUUAGAUACCCUGGUAGUCCACGCUGUAAACGCUGUCGAUUUGGGGAUUGGGCCUUGAGCUUGGUGCCCGAAGCUAACGUGAUAAAUCGACCGCCUGGGGAGUACGGCCGCAAGGUUAAAACUCAAAUGAAUUGACGGGGGCCCGCACAAGCG